UACGUAGGGGACAAGCGUUGUCCGGAAUCAUUGGGCGUAAAGAGCGCGUAGGCGGCCCUGUAAGUCCGCUGUGAAAGUCAAGGGCUCAACCCUUGGAUGCCGGUGGAUACUGCAGGGCUAGAGUCCGGAAGAGGCGAGUGGAAUUCCUGGUGUAGCGGUGAAAUGCGCAGAUAUCAGGAAGAACACCGGUGGCGAAAGCGCUCUGCUAGGCCGCAACUGACACUGAGGGACGAAAGCUAGGGGAGCGAAUGGG
rnacentral:rRNA from 1 species